GGACGAACGCUGGCGGCGUGCUUAACACAUGCAAGUCGAGCGAUGAAAUUCUUCGGAAGUGGAUUAGCGGCGGACGGGUGAGUAACACGUGGGUAACCUGCCUCAUAGAGGGGAAUAGCCUUUCGAAAGGAAGAUUAAUACCGCAUAAGAAGUAGAAGUCGCAUGGCUUUAGCUUUAAAGGAGCAAUCCGCUAUAAGAUGGACCCGCGUUUGAUUAGCUGGUUGGUGGGGUAACGGCCUACCAAGGCGACGAUCAAUAGCCGACCUGAGAGGGGUGACCGGCCACAUUGGGACUGAGACACGGCCCAAACUCCUACGGGAGGCAGCAGUGGGGAAUAUUGCACAAUGGGCGAAAGCCUGAUGCAGCGACGCCGCGUGAGCGAAGAAGUAUUUCGGUAUGUAAAGCUCUAUCAGCAGGGAAGAUAAUGACGGUACCUGACUAAGAAGCACCGGCUAAAUACGUG
rnacentral:rRNA from 1 species